rnacentral:tRNA from 2 species
UCCCGCAUAGCUCAAUUGGCAGAGCACGGAGCUGUUAACUCCGGGGUUCUUGGUUCGAGUCCAAGUGUGGGAGC